AUACGGAGGGUGCAAGCGUUAUCCGGAUUCACUGGGUUUAAAGGGUGCGUAGGCGGAUUAGUAAGUCCGUGGUGAAAUCUCCGAGCUUAACUCGGAAACUGCCGUGGAUACUAUUAAUCUUGAAUGUUGUGGAGGUUAGCGGAAUAUGUCAUGUAGCGGUGAAAUGCAUAGAUAUGACAUAGAACACCAAUUGCGAAGGCAGCUGGCUACACAAAUAUUGACGCUGAUGCACGAAAGCGUGGGGAUCAAACAGG
rnacentral:rRNA from 1 species